GUGUGUGGGUGUGUGCAGGUGUGUGCACGCACGUGCAUAUCUAUGUGUGUCUUA
rnacentral:miRNA from 1 species